rnacentral:rRNA from 1 species
UACGUAGGGGGGCAAGCGUUGUCCGGAAUCAUUGGGCGUAAAGAGCGUGUAGGCGGUCCGGUAAGUCGGCUGUGAAAGUCCAGGGCUCAACCCUGGGAUGCCGGUCGAUACUGCCCGGACUAGAGUUCGGAAGAGGCGAGUGGAAUUCCUGGUGUAGCGGUGAAAUGCGCAGAUAUCGGGAGGAACACCUAUGGCGAAGGCAGCUCGCUGGGACGUUACUGACGCUGAGACGCGAAAGCGUGGGGAGCAAACAGG